AGCAGGUGCGAAAGCAGGUCAUAGUGAUCCGGUGGUUCUGAAUGGAAGGGCCAUCGCUCAACGGAUAAAAGGUACUCCGGGGAUAACAGGCUGAUACCGCCCAAGAGUUCAUAUCGACGGCGGUGUUUGGCACCUCGAUGUCGGCUCAUCACAUCCUGGGGCUGAAGUAGGUCCCAAGGGUAUGGCUGUUCGCCAUUUAAAGUGGUACGCGAGCUGGGUUUAGAACGUCGUGAGACAGUUCGGUCCCUAUCUGCCGUGGGCGCUGGAGAACUGAGGGGGGCUGCUCCUAGUACGAGAGGACCGGAGUGGACGCAUCACUGGUGUUCGGGUUGUCAUGCCAAUGGCACUGCCCGGUAGCUAAAUGCGGAAGAGAUAAGUGCUGAAAGCAUCUAAGCACGAAACUUGCCCCGAGAUGAGUUCUCCCUGACCCUUUAAGGGUCCUGAAGGA
rnacentral:rRNA from 1 species